AUUGAACGCUGGCGGCAGGCCUAACACAUGCAAGUCGAACGAGUGGCGGACGGGUGAGUAAUGAAUGGGAAAAUGCAUGAUGGAGGGGGAUAACUACUGGAAACGGUAGCUAAUACCGCAUACCAUCAGAUGUGCCCAGAGGGGAUUAGCUAGUUGGUGGGGUAACGGCUCACCAAGGCGACGCUCCCUAGCUGGUCUGAGAGGAGGACCAGCCACCCUGGAACUGAGACACGGUCCAGAUCCCUACGGGAGGCAGCAGUGGGGAAUAUUGCACAAUGGGCGAAAGCCUGAUGCAGCCAUGCCGCUGGUAUGAAGAAGGCCUUCGGGUUGUAAAGUACUUUCAGCGGGGAGGCGUUACCCGCAGAAGAAGCACCGGCUAACUCCGUGCCAGCAGCCGCGGUAAUU
rnacentral:rRNA from 1 species